GCUCAGAAACCAAUCUCCACCGGAAGCAGUAGUCUUCACUGCGGCUAACUUACCCCUUGACCAAGACAGCGGGUAGCAGAAACGUGUGUUAGCGGAGCGUUUUUGUCGUGUUCAGAAAGAGGUAAAAUGUGUAAAGUCCAGAUGCUGAGAGCGUUGGUGGAGCAGCGACUAACUGCUGCUGCUGAAGAGAUAUUUGGGCUGUUUGAAAGAACGAUAGCAGAGUACGAGGAGGAACUUUGUCGUUCAAAAGAGGAGAACGAGCGAAAACGGGAACAGCUUGACGCUAUUUUCAAGCCUCAGCUUCGGUUACAAAGAGCAGAUGUUGAGCAGCUGUCAGUAGUUAAAGAAGAGGUCCCCCCUGAGCAGCAGGAGUGUAGCUCCAGUGUGGACCAGCAGGAGCAAGAGCCCCCCUCGCACAUCAAAGAGGAACAGGAGGAACUAUUGAGCAGUCAGCAGGGAGAGCAGCUUCAAGGGCUGGAGGCGGCUGAUAUCACCGAGUUCCCAUUCACUCCUGUCCCUGUGAAGAGUGAAGAUGAUGAAGAGGAAGCUCCGUCCUCACAGCUUCAUCAAAGACAAUCUCAGCACAUGAAAACAGAAGCUGAUGGCAGGGACUGUGGAGGACCAGAACCAGCCAGGAAGUCACAUCCACAUUUACAACCAGAGACUGAAGACCAGACUGGAGACUCUUCUGAUCCUGAGACUGGUGACAGUGCUGAUUGGAAGGAGACCAGAGAACCUCAGUCAGCUUUAAACUCUCUGAAACAUGAUUCAAGACGUAACAAAAGAUUCAGCUGUUCGGAAUGUGGGAAAAGAUUUGGCUUCAAGUCACAUCUGAAGACACACAUGAGAAUCCACACAGGAGAAAAACCUUUCAGCUGUUUAGUUUGUAAAAAAUCUUUUACACUUAGUUGGAGUUUACAGAAUCACAUGAAAAUCCACACAGGAGAAAAUCUUUUCAGCUGUUCAGUUUGUAAGAAAUCUUUUAUACAGAGAGGGCAUUUACAACAACACAUGAGAAUCCACACAGGAGAGAAGCCUUUUAGCUGCUCUGAGUGUGGUAGAGCUUUCAAAGAACGUGGAAAUCUGAAAACCCACAUGAUGACUCAUUCUGGAGAAAAACCUUUCAGCUGCAGUGUUUGUAAUACAUCUUUUACACGUAGAGGGAGUUUACAGAAUCACAUGAGAAUCCACAAAGGAGAGAAGCCUUUUAGCUGCUCUGAGUGUGGUAGAGCUUUCACUGAACGUGGACACUUGAAGAAACACAUGAUGACUCAUUCUGGAGAAAAACCUUUCAGUUGCUUAUUCUGUAAUAAAUACUUUACACUGAAUGGAAAUUUACAAAAACACAUGGCCAUAGUCCACAAAGGAGAGAAAAGAUUCAGUUGCAGUGUUUGUGACAAAAGUUUUUCUCGGCAUUCUGAUGUCAAAACACAUGAAUGUGUUGGUCCGAUGGAAACAGAAGCUGAUGGAGAGGACUUUGGAGAACCAGAACCAGCGAGGAACAUGCAUCCGCAACCAGAGACUGAAGACCAGACUGGAGACUCUUCUGAACCUGAUACUGAUGACAUGGAUUAAAGUUUGUGCCUUUUAAGUCUAAGUAAAACUUCAGUAUUCAACAAAAAUCUUUAUGUAUCAACAUCUAGAUAGAAGACAUUACAUUGUGUGGUAGGAAAAAAUUACACUUAUUUUAAAUAUUUAAUUACACAUUGUUUUGUAAUGUCUGUCAUAUAAUCAAGAAAUCAGACAAAUGUAACCAUCCGAUUAUAGUGCCCACACAUAUAUUCAUUUCUUUCUAAGUAACGUAUGUUUAGCAAGAGUCACUAUUAAUUUGGGAGUUUAUUCCAUACACAUUGGGAUCAUGUUUUAAUUGUGUGGAUCAUGUUUAAGCACAAGUUAGGCCCAGCAGUCUCUCUGUGUCAGGGAGACAGGAAGUGCAGGUUGAAAGCUAUCUUUAGUUUAAACAGAGAGACAUGGGGGAUGUUGCAUAGGGAAGUUAGCCUAGCAAGGUGUUUUGUGUCAGGGAUUAACAAGUUUUCUCUUUGAAGCAAAGCUGAGAUGGACAUAUUAUGAUCUGUAUAAAACUAUAAAAACUUACUUGUUCAAUGCUAAGUUCCAAGGUAAUAUGAUCAGUGACACCAAAAUGAUUAAUGAAAAUGAGAGGACUGUUGGAAGUCAAAUUUGAUCACCAGUUCAGGUCCGUUUAAGGAUGUAAGAUGAGGUAACUGGGCGUGAAUGUGUCCACCUGACACCACCUAAAACACUGUAUAAGAAGAGUCGUAUGAAACUUAGAUUCAGUUGUCUACUCAACUAGCACCUGUGGUCAGUUGAUGUGUCCUAGACAGCUCUGUUUGUUUGUUAAAAUGUAACAAAUAAAUUUGAAUGGAGGGAAUAUCAACAGUCUCUGGAGUCUUCAUGGUGUCUUCUCAUAGAAAUAAAAUGGACAG